AAAUCGCGAGUAAUAGGAGAAGAUAAUAACAUUGCAACUGCCAGGUUCUGAGAUUCAACGAAACCAAAAUAUUAUAUACCAAAUUGAAAAAGUUACUUUUCUGAUGAAUCAACCAUAUGAUGAAACCAGUGACAUUUCUAACUUCCAAGAAUUGGAAGCUCGAGUGAGAAGACCAGAAUUGGAUGAUGACCCACAGAACAGAGAGGAUGAAGAAACAGAAAUUCAAGUGGCAGCUUCCCGUCCCACUACUCGUCGAGUACGUCCCCAAUCGACCAGAAUUAGAACUGCAACGAUAAAAAAAGUGUGUUAUACCACAGCAUACUGUUCUACCUGUCCCUCUUCUAGCACGAAGAUGUAUUUACCCACAGGAUGAUGAUGAUGAUGAUUCUCUUAGUUUUGGGUUUUCAGAUAACAGUUUAUCCUCUGAUGAUGAGUCAGUUAGCUGGAGUGGCUUGACAAGAAGUAGCAGAAUAAAUUUGGAUGAGGAAUUUUACAUAACUGAAGAAAGGGACAGGUUGUAUUCCCAGCUCCCCUGUGGGAAGAAUGGAAGGAUAUAUGAUUCUGCUGAUUAUGAACAUCUACGUGUGUCUGUUGAAGUCAAGGAAUUGUUCCAGUCCAUAUCAAGGUAUAAUACUCAAACCAUAGAGCUGGAUCACAAGUUAAAGCCUUUUAUCCCAGAUUUUAUUCCAGCAGUGGGAGAUAUUGAUGCCUUUUUAAAGGUAUGGAUCUUGUCUCUCUGUAGUGGUGAAAUUUUCAUGUACGUGU
rnacentral:misc_RNA from 1 species